AGACGAACCGUGCAAACGUUGUUCGGAAUCACUGGGCUUAAAGGGCGCGUAGGCGGGCAAGCAAGUCCGGGGUGAAAUCUUUCGGCUCAACCGGAAAAGUGCCUUGGAUACUGCUUGUCUGGAGGGAGGUAGGGGCAUGUGGAACUUCUGGUGGAGCGGUGAAAUGCGUUGAUAUCAGAAGGAACGCCGGUGGCGAAAGCGACGUGCUGGACCUCUUCUGACGCUGAGGCGCGAAAGCUAGGGGAGCGAACA
rnacentral:rRNA from 1 species